rnacentral:rRNA from 1 species
ACCUGCGGAGGGAUCAUUACCGAGUUUACAACUCCCAAACCCCUGUGAACAUACCAAUUGUUGCCUCGGCGGAUCAGCCCGCUCCCGGUAAAACGGGACGGCCCGCCAGAGGACCCCUAAACUCUGUUUCUAUAUGUAACUUCUGAGUAAAACCAUAAAUAAAUCAAAACUUUCAACAACGGAUCUCUUGGUUCUGGCAUCGAUGAAGAACGCAGCAAAAUGCGAUAAGUAAUGUGAAUUGCAGAAUUCAGUGAAUCAUCGAAUCUUUGAACGCACAUUGCGCCCGCCAGUAUUCUGGCGGGCAUGCCUGUUCGAGCGUCAUUUCAACCCUCAAGCCCCCGGGUUUGGUGUUGGGGAUCGGCGAGCCCUUGCGGCAAGCCGGCCCCGAAAUCUAGUGGCGGUCUCGCUGCAGCUUCCAUUGCGUAGUAGUAAAACCCUCGCAACUGGUACGCGGCGCGGCCAAGCCGUUAAACCCCCAACUUCUGAAUGUGACCUCGGAUCAGGUAGGAAUACC